rnacentral:sRNA from 1 species
GCUGGGUGUGGUGUCACACACACCUGUAAUCCCAACAAAUUGGGAGGCUGAGGCAGGAGAAUUGUGAGUUCAAGGCCACUCUUAGCAACUUAGUGAGACCCUGUCUCAA